rnacentral:lncRNA from 1 species
UCUAGGAUUUUCUGACUCCAUGGGUCUGGCAUAGCACCCCAGGAUCUGCAUUUCUCAGAAUAUCCCAGGAAACGCUAGAUGCAGCUAAUCCAGGAACCCGCACCUCAAAGACCACUGAUCCAGCAGUGCGUCCCACCAGAAAAGGGUGGGUGCGUUACUCACUGAGGGAUACCCCCACUUCUGACACAUCUGACUUCUCAACAUUCGGAAGGGCCUGCCAGGUAACAGGUGCUAAAAAACAAUGUGUUGAAUGAACUUGAUGUCAAGUGUAAGGGGAAGUGGAGCAUGGCACAAGAGCACUGGGAAGACCACACAGGAGAGAAGAGGAAGACGGACGGUGAGGUCUGUGAAGGGGAGCUGGUAGAAACCCACUCACCUCAUUGAUUUCAGCAACCGAAAAGCCACACACG